AAGUGUCUUAGCUGGCUAUUAGUUCGUGAGACGUUUAGAAAACGAGCAGUAUAUGUUGGGUUUUAGUUCUGCUUGGUUAUGAAAAUAGUGGACAGCUUUCCAAGUGCUGCAAAGUACAAGGGUAAUUCAAAGUACAAGAGUAUUUCAUAGUACGAGAUGACGCCAAAAAUCCCUCUCUACUGUGGAAAGGAAAAAAAAAAAACUGAUCACCGGCUAGACCCAAACACUCUUAUGAUAUGGCAGCAUACAACGUGUAAAUUACUCUCAUUCUCGCUCGAAAUAACUCUAACCCCUAGCCGAGACAAUAUUGAGCCAUCUGUCGCUUGCCUUAGAUCUCUGUGAUUGUGCUUACCACCUUAAUCAAAGCGCGCGUUAAAAUUAAUGCCAUUCCACGCAAUA